rnacentral:rRNA from 1 species
GAUGAACGCUGGCGGCGUGCCUAAUACAUGCAAGUCGAGCGAACGGACGAGAAGCUUGCUUCUCUGAUGUUAGCGGCGGACGGGUGAGUAACACGUGGAUAACCUACCUAUAAGACUGGGAUAACUUCGGGAAACCGGAGCUAAUACCGGAUAAUAUUUUGAACCGCAUGGUUCAAAAGUGAAAGACGGUCUUGCUGUCACUUAUAGAUGGAUCCGCGCUGCAUUAGCUAGUUGGUAAGGUAACGGCUUACCAAGGCAACGAUGCAUAGCCGACCUGAGAGGGUGAUCGGCCACACUGGAACUGAGACACGGUCCAGACUCCUACGGGAGGCAGCAGUAGGGAAUCUUCCGCAAUGGGCGAAAGCCUGACGGAGCAACGCCGCGUGAGUGAUGAAGGUCUUCGGAUCGUAAAACUCUGUUAUUAGGGAAGAACAUAUGUGUAAGUAACUGUGCACAUCUUGACGGUACCUAAUCAGAAAGCCACGGCUAACUACGUGCCAGCAGCCGCGGUAAUACGUAGGUGGCAAGCGUUAUCCGGAAUUAUUGGGCGUAAAGCGCGCGUAGGCGGUUUUUUAAGUCUGAUGUGAAAGCCCACGGCUCAACCGUGGAGGGUCAUUGGAAACUGGAAAACUUGAGUGCAGAAGAGGAAAGUGGAAUUCCAUGUGUAGCGGUGAAAUGCGCAGAGAUAUGGAGGAACACCAGUGGCGAAGGCGACUUUCUGGUCUGUAACUGACGCUGAUGUGCGAAAGCGUGGGGAUCAAACAGGAUUAGAUACCCUGGUAGUCCACGCCGUAAUCGAUGAGUGCUAAGUGUUAGGGGGUUUCCGCCCCUUAGUGCUGCAGCUAACGCAUUAAGCACUCCGCCUGGGGAGUACGACCGCAAGGUUGAAACUCAAAGGAAUUGACGGGGACCCGCACAAGCGGUGGAGCAUGUGGUUUAAUUCGAAGCAACGCGAAGAACCUUACCAAAUCUUGACAUCCUUUGACAACUCUAGAGAUAGAGCCUUCCCCUUCGGGGGACAAAGUGACAGGUGGUGCAUGGUUGUCGUCAGCUCGUGUCGCGAGAUGUUGGGUUAAGUCCCGCAACGAGCGCAACCCUUAAGCUUAGUUGCCAUCAUUAAGUUGGGCACUCUAAGUUGACUGCCGGUGACAAACCGGAGGAAGGUGGGGAUGACGUCAAAUCAUCAUGCCCCUUAUGAUUUGGGCUACACACGUGCUACAAUGGACAAUACAAAGGGCAGCGAAACCGCGAGGUCAAGCAAAUCCCAUAAAGUUGUUCUCAGUUCGGAUUGUAGUCUGCAACUCGACUACAUGAAGCUGGAAUCGCUAGUAAUCGUAGAUCAGCAUGCUACGGUGAAUACGUUCCCGGGUCU